UGUCAUAUUACCAUAUUGACUGAAUAUAAUUUAUAAAUAUUUAGUUUUUCAUAAUUGUCGAAAGGGGGAGCAGUCAUAUUUAAAAAAAUUUUGAAGGCAUAUGCAGAUUCAAGUGGCUGUCAAAGUGUUGAUAAACUUGGCUAUUGACGAUGGAGUAAACCGGAAACUGCCACAUAAAAAGACAGACUUCUCCAUCAGCUUUCAUUUCGGAUGUGAAGCUACAAUUUCGUAUAUACAUGGCAUGGAAGGUAUUAGUACAGAGAGAUUGAGGAAAGUAGUCCCUCGGCAGAUUAUGUCAACCUCUUCGAGUGUAUUUCUGACAUGAAGUAAAGGCCCCUCCUGAAAAACCAUCAGCCGUUCGGAGACGGCUUAGUAUAAACUGUUGGUACCUUCAUUUGUUGGGGAAACAUAUAGAAUCAAAAAAAAAAAUUAGAGAAGCUCGGACGAAAAUAGUUUCAGCGGUUACAUAGCGUCAAUUAUAAAUAUUCAACCCAUCCCUCUAUUCUACAACCCACCUGCUAUUUACCUUGUUUUACGUUAUUAUACAAUGAAAUAAAAAUUAACUCUUGCUUUUUUUAUCCGUUUUAUUACAUAAGUUUAAGUAGGCUUUAAAUAAUUUAUAUAAAUAUGUGUUAGUGGUUUCCUGUUAAAUAUCUAGUUAUAUAAAAUAAAAUGGACCAUAUCAUGAAUUAAAAUUUGUUAAAUCUUUCCUCUUUUUUCAAUUUUUGUAUUGAGAAUUUCAUAAAUUUCACGAUAGGUCUCAAUAUAAUUAAGAAAAGUUUGAUGGUGUAUUAAUUUUAGGAUGAAUUUAAUAAUUUACGGAAUAAUUUAGUUUUGUGAAAAGU